GAUGAAGAACGUAGCAAAAUGCGAUAAGUAAUGUGAAUUGCAGAAUUCAGUGAAUCAUCGAAUCUUUGAACGCACAUUGCGCCCGCCAGUAUUCUGGCGGGCAUGCCUGUUCGAGCGUCAUUUCAACCAUCAAGCCCCAGGCUUGUGUUGGGGACCUGCGGCUGCCGCAGGCCCUGAAAACCAGUGGCGGGCUCGCUGUCACACCGGGCGUAGUAGAUUUUAUCUCGCUCAGGGCGUGCUGCGGGUUCCGGCCGUUAAAAAGCCUUUUUUACCCAAGGUUGACCUCGGAUCAGGUAGGAAGACCCGCUGAACUUAAGCAUAUCAAUAAGCGGAGGA
rnacentral:misc_RNA from 1 species